rnacentral:rRNA from 1 species
UGGGGAAUCUUCCGCAAUGGGCGAAAGCCUGACGGAGCAACGCCGCGUGAGUGAUGACGGCCUUCGGGUUGUAAAGCUCUGUUAUAUGGGACGAACGGGCAUGGGGCGAAUACCCUCAUGCAGUGACGGUACCGUAAGAGAAAGCCACGGCUAACUACGUGCCAGCAGCCGCGGUAAUACGUAGGUGGCAAGCGUUGUCCGGAAUUAUUGGGCGUAAAGGGCGUGUAGGCGGCCAGACAAGUCUGUCUUAAAAGUGCGGGGCUCAACCCCGUGAUGGGAUGGAAACUGUCGGGCUAGAGUGUCGGAGAGGAAAGCGGAAUUCCUAGUGUAGCGGUGAAAUGCGUAGAUAUUAGGAGGAACACCAGUGGCGAAAGCGGCUUUCUGGACGACAACUGACGCUGAGGCGCGAAAGCCAGGGGAGCAAACGGGAUUAGAUACCCCGGUAGUCCUGGCCGUAAACGAUGGGUACUAGGUGUAGGAGGUAUCGACCCCUUCUGUGCCGGAGUUAACGCAAUAAGUAUCCCGCCUGGGGAGUACGGCCGCAAGGCUG